rnacentral:rRNA from 1 species
GACGAACGCUGGCGGCGUGCUUAACACAUGCAAGUCGAACGGAAAGGCCCUGCUUUUGUGGGGUGCUCGAGUGGCGAACGGGUGAGUAACACGUGAGUAACCUGCCCUUGACUUUGGGAUAACUUCAGGAAACUGGGGCUAAUACCGGAUAGGAGCUCCUGCUGCAUGGUGGGGGUUGGAAAGUUUCGGCGGUUGGGGAUGGACUCGCGGCUUAUCAGCUUGUUGGUGGGGUAGUGGCUUACCAAGGCUUUGACGGGUAGCCGGCCUGCGCGGGUGACCGGCCACAUUGGGACUGAGAUACGGCCCAGACUCCUACGGGAGGCAGCAGUGGGGAAUAGUGCACAAUGGGCGGAAGCCUGAUGCAGCAACGCCGCGUGCGGGAUGACGGCCUUCGGGUUGUAAACCGCUUUCGCCUGUGACGAAGCGUGAGUGACGGUAAUGGGUAAAGAAGCACCGGCUAACUACGUG